AAAACAAAACAAAUCAAAACAAAAAAAGCACACUUGACACCUAUGGUCCUGUCCUAUAUAUGUUAGUGCUCGUGAUGGAUUUACAUAGAUGUUAACCUAACUGCAAGCAAGACCUCGCAACCGCUGCGACAUCUCGCAUCGCAUAUAUUCGCGUCAGGAGAGAGGGGGGAAAAAAGUUCGAAGCCCGACGCUGCACAACAUCCGAGAAGGUUUAUAGAGAACGAAGAGAGAGAGAGAGAUACGAGACGAGACUAUGGCCCAAACUUAAAAGUGGCUCCUUUUCGCUGUGCGUGGAGCUGGCCGCGUCGCAGAAGCACAUGACGAAGGGCCGCUCGAACGACACCGGAAAAAGGAAGGAACAUAUGCCAACAACAUCUUUGCUCGCUUUCUCCUCCCUCCGACCCUCCCCAGCGCCCGGGUCUGCCGCCUGCCCGACCCAUGGCCGUGGAACAACAUUUCAUUUCUGCCGCGCAAUCAAGAUGGCCAGGUAGGCGCGCAGAAGCCUUUGGCGCCAUCAUGCGUGCCUGCCGCCGAGCACCGUUAAAAAGGAGGUGGUGGUGGCUGCAGCUUGGCAUGUGAUUAUCCAAUUGCGUAGCAAAGCCUGGGACAACUCACGCGCAGAAGCGGCGGCGGUGGCGCCGGCUCCAAAGACGCAGCGAUGUGCUGUCUGUCGCCGACGUGGAGUGAGAUAAAUUCAGAGGGACGGACUGGUUCGUGCCAUGCCACGACUGCAAAGAAUGGCUUUGGUGCUGCCUGCCAGGGUGGUUUCGCCGACAAUGUAAUCCUGCCUGCUGCGUGCAUACA